GUUAAAUGAGGCGUUCGAACACGAACAUUCCGUCUUGCGUUUUGUUACGGAGAUCUUCAUUAAAGUUCAAAUUCACCACUAUUGUUGACAAGACCCAGCCCUCAACAGCCAACCCACAUUUCUAGUGCCGUGGGGAAUCGGCAAGGUUGUCUUCUGACAGACCACACAGGAUAGUUCCAGAAGCCGUCAAGCAAGUCUUUCUGAACACAAACAGUUACAUGGAGUUUUUCAUAAAAGCAUUGCUUCGAAAGCCAGUGGCUGCCAUGAGGGAGGGUGCACCAAGCCUUCGACGAUGACAUCAGCCAUGGCCAAAGAACAUUAUGAUGA